rnacentral:rRNA from 1 species
CAGCAGCCGCGGUAAGACGAACCGUGCGAACGUUAUUCGGAAUCAUUGGGCUUAAAGCGCGUGUAGGCGGAUGGGAACGUCGGUCGCUGAAAUACCCCGGCUCAACCGGGGAACUGGCAUCGAAACGACCCGUCUCGAGGGGCAUAGGGGGAGCUGGAACUUCCGGUGGAGCGGUGAAAUGCGUUGAGAUCGGAAGGAACGCCCGUGGCGAAAGCGAGCUCCUGGAUGUCUUCUGACGCUGAGACGCGAAAGCUAGGGUAGCGAACGGGAUUAGAUACCCCGGUAGUCCCUGUCUCUUAUA